rnacentral:rRNA from 1 species
GACGAACGCUGGCGGCGUGCUUAACACAUGCAAGUCGAGCGAGGCCCCUCCUUCGGGAGGGUGUCCUAGCGGCGAACGGGUGAGUAACACGUGGGCAACCUGCCCUCAGCUCUGGGAUAACUCCGGGAAACCGGGGCUAAUACCGGAUACGACCUCCACGGGCAUCUGCGGAGGUGGAAAGUUUUUCGGCUGAGGAUGGGCCCGCGGCCUAUCAGCUAGUUGGUGGGGUAGUGGCCCACCAAGGCGACGACGGGUAGCCGGCCUGAGGGGGCGACCGGCCACACUGGGACUGAGACACGGCCCAGACUCCUACGGGAGGCAGCAGUGGGGAAUAUUGCGCAAUGGGCGAAAGCCUGACGCAGCGACGCCGCGUGAGGGACGAAGGCCUUCGGGUUGUAAACCUCUUUCAGCAGGGACGAAGCGAAAGUGACGGUACCUGCAGAAGAAGCACCGGCCAACUACGUG